AGAGACGGGGUUUCACCGUGUUGGCUAGGCUGGUCUUGAACUCCUGACCUGGUGAUCCGCCCGCCUCGGCCUCCCAAAGUGCUGGGAUUACAGGCAUGAACCACUGCGUGCAGCUCUCCAUAAGGUAGAAGCAUAUGGGAAACUGCAUUCCGAUCCAGGGAAGUAUAGGAAGCAGUAAUAAAAGUGGGAAGACCUAUUAUAAGUUCGUUGCAGUCAUCCAGCUGCUGAUUUUCUCUCGAGGGCUCACCCCCCUGGACUCUGGGUGGUCCUGGGAGGAUGUGAACCCUGUACCCUGACUCCCAUCACUGAGGCCAAGAGUCUGGACCCCUCCUCCUCCUCCUGCCCCAGCACAGCAGGGAACCCGGCAGGACAGCUGUCCUCUAGGACUCUUGAGUUCACUCACUUCAGCCACCAAGCGCUGACUGUGUUUCCACCAAAGGGCAGUUCCUGCGGCUUCUACUCCCCCUCUCCAAGGUGCCAGGGUUACUGCCUGUCCUCCAGCCUUCCAUGGCAUCACUGUCUCUCCAGAUCAUCUCAUUCAAUUCUCUCAUUGCUCCAGUGAGCCUGGAUGGUUUUCUGUUGCCGACAACAAAAAACCCCAACUGAUACCAUUCCCCUUCCCCAAGGUCACUUACCCAGGGCAAGGUCCAGCCUGAGAUUUGAGUUCCUACUGAGUCCCCUACAGGGGCACAGCUAUGAGCUGAAUUGUGCCUCUCUCCAGGUUCAUUCCUAACCCCUGAGACCUCAGAAUGGGACAGUAUUUGGACACACGGUCUUUCUUGAGCUAAUACAGGUUAAAUAGUUUACUGAGGGGAUCCUCAUCCAAUACAACUGGUGUCCUUAUAAGAGGAAAUUGGGACACACAUUAGUGUGCAGUGGGAAGUCCAUGUGAGGACGGACAAAGAAGCUUGGCCAUCCACAAGCCCAGGAGAGAGACUCAGAACAAAUCAAUCUGCGGACACCUUGAUCUUGGGCUUCUAGCCUCCAGAACUGUGAGAAAAUACAUUUCUGUUGGGUAAGCGGCCCAGCCUGUGGUCCUUUGUCACGGCAGCCCUGGCAGACGAAUGCAGGCCGCACUUCCCACCGCCAUGGUGCCACUGUCUGUGGACAGCAUGCCAGCCUCAUCGCACGAGUUAUCCCUGAAGAUGCUCAAAUUAGCAGGCUGUUCUUAGAACCAAAUUUCCUGGACAGGCUUCAGAAAACAUUCUCCCUGGUGAUACAGACAUCUGAAAACACACACACACACACACACACCCAAGAAAACAAAAAACAAACAAAAAUGCCAAAAACAAAUAAAAAACCCAUGACCAAAAAA
ensembl:lncRNA LINC02273 long intergenic non-protein coding RNA 2273